GUGAUAGUCUGAGCGUACUUUGAACACUGCUUCACUCUGAAGCUUUAGCGCCUUCAAGCCUUGCUCCUCAAAGCUGGUCUGUGGAUCAGGGUCACCAGGGAACUUUUAGGAAUGCAGAGUCCCAGGCCCCACCUUAACCUGCUCAGUUUAUGUUUUAACAAGAUUCCAGGUGAUUCAUAUAAACAACAAAGUAUGAAGACCAUUGGUCUAGAGCAGUGGUUCACAAAAAAGAUGGUUCCUGGACCAGCAACAUCAGCAUUACCUGAAAAAUUGUUAGAAAAUGCAGAUUCUCAGGCCCCACCUCAGACCUACGGAAUCAGAAACUCUGGGAUGGACCCCAGCAGUACGUGUUUUAGUUGGUGCUGUAGGCAGAGACAUUUGUUUGGGUGAACAAUGCAUCUGCACAUUCCCAGAGUGUUGCCAAGGCCAAAUAUGAAUUUUUGUUUGGCAGACCUGAAGGGAAAACUCCAGAUACUAUGCAAAGAAGAAGUUGAAUAAUUCUGAAUAACAGAUAGAAUGUGUUGGCUGAAUGUUGAGCGUCUGCUUUAGGUAGACGCCUCACCAUACACACAGAAUUCCUGGAGAGCAAGACACAAAAAAAGUAGCAUGGCAGCUCAGCCCCUACUCAUGCCUAUUCAGAUCUUUGCAUCUCACUGCAGGACCUAGGAAACCUAUGAGUUAUUGCUUUAGGAAAAAUGUGGGCUGGAAUAGAAAACCACAAAUAAACAAAGGAAGAAAUGACAAAUCUUCUAA
rnacentral:sRNA from 1 species